UCGAUUUUUAGUGGUAAUUUAGAAAAGACUUCUGUAUGAGCUUUCGUAACGUUCGGUUGUGUGACAGUUCAGUGUGGAAGUGAUAAUUCAAAAAAAACGCAGGCGGCAAAAACAAAAUAGGAACUACAUAAUAGAGAAAAACAAAAACAAGAAGGACAAGGACCACAUAGGACCAAAAAAAAAAAUAGAUCUGAAGUUGACAGGACACCUGGUUGUGCAUUGCCUUGAGCAAGACGCGCAUAACCAAUAACAUGUACUGGGUAAAUGAUUAAAAAAAAAUCGAAACCCAAAAAAAAAGGAAGAAGAAGAAGAAGAAACAG